UCCUGUUUCACCACAUCCCAAAGCUCCUCUACUGGACUGAGAUCUAGUAACUGUGGAGGACAUUCCAGUACAGUGAACUCUCUCACUGUCAUGUUUAAGAAACCAGUCUGAGAUUAUUCAGGCUUUAUAACAUGGAGCAUUAUCCUGCUGGAAGUAGCAUCAGAAGAUACAGCUACACUGUGAUCAUAAAGAGAUGAACAUGAUCAGUAACAAUACUCAGGUAGACUGUGGCGUUUGAGACACGAUGCUCAGUUAGUACUAAUGAGCCCAAAGUGUGUCAGGAAAAUCUCCCCCACACCAUUUCAGCACCACCACCAGCCUGAACCAGCUGUUGAUGCACGGCAGGACGGAUCCAUGCUUUCAUGUUGUUGACUCCAAAUUCUGACCCUACCAUCAGAAUGUAGCAGCAGAAAUCAUCAGAGACUCAUCAGAUCAGGAGCUGCACCCGGUGUGAUUCUUCUUCUGCUGCUGUAGAUCAUCAUCCUCCUUAAGGUUGGACGUGUUGUGUUGAGCUGGAUAACGGUGUAAAAAGUGAUUUAUCAGGGUAAAUUGUGCCCUGUGUUUGGACAGGGUGUUUGGACAAACUGUAAAAAAUUCUGGAUCUCUGAACGCUGUGGGACAACGGAGGUGUGCUAGUCAUCAAAGAUAAGUACUUUUUAUCAUGUUUUACUACAGCAAAAGCCUAUUUUACAGUUCUCUUUUAAAUCACCUUUCUUCUCCAUUUUUGAUGCUUGGUUUUCAGGUCGUCUUGGCCAUGUCUACAUGCCUAAAUGCGUUAAGUUGCUGCCAUGUGAUUGGCUGAUUUGACAUUUGUGUUUAUGAGCAGUUGGACAGGUGUUCCUAAUGAAGUGGCUGCGCUAUUGCAAAGGCAGUGAAAUACACCAGAAGAGAAGGUAACGUAAGCCACUCAACAGCACAAGUGGAGUGUGUGAGGAACGAGUGAAAAGAGCAAGCAAUACAGAUGAGAGCCAAUUACCCAACCCACUUACUAGGACUCCCCCUAUCACUAGUGAUGCCCCAACACACCAGGAGGGUGAAGUGACUAGCACAUGCUUCCUCUGAUACAUGUGAAGUCAGCCACCGCUUCUUUUUGAGCUGCUGCUGAUGCAGUAUUGCUGAGCAGCAUCACAGCGUACUCUGAGGAAACCACAGCGACUCGGUUCCGAUACAUCAGCUCACAGACGCCCUGUGCUGAUCAACAUCACUCUAGGAGUGAUGUGGGGAGAGAGCGCCAUCUACCCACCCGGAGAGAGCAGGGCCCAUUGUGCUCCCUCUGAGUGCCGGCAGCUUGAUGGUAAAGCUGCAUGAGCGGGGGUUCAAACCUGCGACCUCCCGCUCAUAGUGGCAGCGCUUUAGAAAACUGGACCACUCGGAGCUGAGUUUGUUUGUUUGUUAAUUACACAGGUCAUGCUGUGGUGAUCUGUCUUCCUCUUCUACUUUAAAUGAUUAAGCAGUGGAAUUGGGGACACCUGCUGUUCAUCCAGACAGAACCAGGACUACCAUUAAUCCCAGCACAGCAACAGUGAACGUGAACAUGAACCUGGAGAUUUAUCUGCAUGUGAUUAUACAGGUGAGCCUGGUCAGUGGCGAUUACCGCUGAGGAUUCUGGGACUUGAAGUCUUUUGGCUCAUAUCCACCAGCUACUGCACUGAGUUGUCCAGGUGGCCCUCUGCUGGUGAUUGGGUGGUACAGUGUUUUUAA